ACUUAAACAUUGAGGGACUUUUUCCCAUGUACUGCUGUAAGUGCUUCAAUGUUUUGGUGA
rnacentral:pre_miRNA from 1 species